CUUUUCUUACAGUAUUUCUGACUGCUUUUAGAUGUCCUAGUGAAUACCAGAAACAUGUCAAGCAGUCAUGGAUACAGCCCUGGAGGUCUUCCUUCAGUUGACUCACCUUGAAAAGAGGAGGUUGCACCUGAACAACUCAAAUUCCUCCUCUGCUUUCAGCCUUCAAUAAAAUGAUACAUUUUGGUUUUCCUGGUCCAAGGUAUAAACCUAAGUAUAUCAUCUCCUCACCAACAGCUCUACUUAGCUACUCCUAUGGACUACAACUGAAAUUAUGUCCAUAUGCUUCCAUGGAAGAACCAACUUCUUGAUUUGUAUUUGAUGUUAAUGAAGAUUUUCUAAUUCGUUUACUUUAACUGUUAUCUUGGAUUAUAAGCAAUAAUCAAGCAGAAAAUCCUCAUUUUCCAAAGCACAAAUAUGGUAACGAACUGGUACCAAAGUUGACAAAAACAAGUAAAAGAAGAGAGAAAAAAAAAAAAAAAAACCCCACAAAAACAACUCAAAACCCACAUACCCAAAUCUUCUUUAAGACACACAUGGAAUCUCUUAAAUUACAUUUGUAUCAAAUUAACUUGGGUGGUCUGAGCGUCAUCAAGCAUGCAGAAAGGGUUCCCAUAAAAAAGCUAAUUUAAGAAAGUCGUUAGGGCAUUGACAAUAGAAGCAACCUGUUCCCUUGCUGUCAAUGUGUUUUCUUUUAGGGAAACUUGCUCUUUCUUGCCCAUGCUGAAAAUAUCUACAGCUCUCCAAGAGCUUAGCCUUAACAUCUUCAUGGGUGGCUCCAAAUGGCUGCCAUUUUUACCAUGUGCGGAGUGAUAGCUUUUCUUUAUGCUUUUUCAAAUGGCAUAAUGACUACAAAACUGUCGGGUAGACUCAUGUGUGCAUUCAAGUCGAGAAGCACUCAAACCUACCAACUUCUUUUUGCAGUCAAAUAGUAUAUCAGCAAUUCAGUUGUUCAUUAAAAAGUGCUGGAAAUCUCAUCAACCUGCGUCUCCAGAGUGUUGAUUAUGACCGUGUUGUACUGCAAAAAUCUAAAACAAGGAAAGGGAAAGCCAUCCUGACUCAUUGGCUGCUCUCAGAACGACAGUUCAUGGGGACCUUGUUUCUCUGCAGUUCUCCACCAGGAAAAUCCUGUUCAGGCUCCAAAGAAGACAUCAGUUCAGUUCAGUUCAGUCACUCAGUUGUGUCCGACUCUUU